AGGAAAAGAAACUAACAAGGAUUCCCCUAGUAACUGCGAGUGAAGCGGGAAAAGCUCAAAUUUAAAAUCUGGUAGUCUUUGGCUGCCCGAGUUGUAAUCUAGAGAAGCGUUAUCCGCGCUGGACCGUGUAUAAGUCUCCUGGAAUGGAGCGUCAUAGAGGGUGAGAAUCCCGUCUUUAACACGGACUACCAGGGCUUUGUGAUGCGCUCUCAAAGAGUCGAGUUGUUUGGGAAUGCAGCUCUAAAUGGGUGGUAAAUUCCAUCUAAAGCUAAAUAUUGGCGAGAGACCGAUAGCGAACAAGUACCGUGAGGGAAAGAUGAAAAGAACUUUGGAAAGAGAGUUAAACAGUACGUGAAAUUGUUGAAAGGGAAACGCUUGAAGUCAGUCGCGUUGGUCGGGGAUCAACCUUGCUUUUGCUUGGUGUACUUCCUGGUUAACGGGUCAGCAUCAAUUUUGACCAAUGGAAAAAGGUCAGGGGAAUGUGGCAUCUUCGGAUGUGUUAUAGCCUCUGGUCAUAUACAUUGGUUGGGAUUGAGGAACUCAGCACGCCGCAAGGCCGGGUUUUUACCACGUUCGUGCUUAGGAUGCUGGCAUAAUGGCUUUAAUCGACCCGUCUU
rnacentral:rRNA from 1 species